AUCCAGUGCCUUGUACUUAAUGAAGGUUUGCAACACUCUGAGGAACUGUUCUCAGUUCUUCUGCCUUAUUUCUGGCCUCCGUUGCCACUGUUUUGACCUAGUGAAGGCCUAGACUUUCUCAGACAGAUUUCUUUUAACUCUUCUGCCCUGACUCCAGUCUUCACUGGCAUGCUGCCUUGCACUUAGGGAAGGUUCACAUGCCUCAAGGAUCUCUCUCUCUCAGAUUUCAUGACUUUCCCUCAGUCUUCAGUGUAGUCCUCCUCUGUGCCUGGUGAAGAUCUGGGGUAAAGUGCUGGAAGAUGAGGAAGCUAAAUCACGUAAAAGGGCUGGGCUUACACCCAAUUUAUGGUCAUCUUGCUCAUGCUCAUCCUGCACAAUUUCUAGCAUUUGGAGAAUGUUUCUCAUGGUAGCAUCUAACGCCUGUGGCUGCUGUCUGAGAGAAAGCAGUGACGAGGGGAAGACACUGACCUCU